GACGAACGCUGGCGGCGUGCUUAACACAUGCAAGUCGAACGGAAAGGCCCUGCUUUUGUGGGGUGCUCGAGUGGCGAACGGGUGAGUAACACGUGAGUAACCUGCCCUUGACUUUGGGAUAACUUCAGGAAACGGGGGCUAAUACCGGAUAGGAGCUCCUGCUGCAUGGAGGGGGGUGGAAAUUUUCGGCGGGUGGGGAUGGACUGGCGGCUUAUCAGCUUGUUGGUGGGGGAGUGGCUUACCAAGGCUUUGACGGGUAGCCGGCCUGAGAGGGUGAACGGCCACAUUGGGACUGAGAUACGGCCCAGACUCCUACGGGAGGCAGCAGUGGGGAAUAUUGUACAAUGGGCGGAAGCCUGAUGCAGCAACGCCGCGUGCGGGAUGACGGCCUUCGGGUUGUAAACCGCUUUCGCCUGUGACGAAGCGUGAGUGACGGUAAUGGGUAAAGAAGCACCGGCUAACUACGUG
rnacentral:rRNA from 1 species